rnacentral:rRNA from 1 species
GCUUGAUAAUCAAAGGAGCAAUCCGCUGAAAGAUGGGCUCGCGUCCGAUUAGGUAGUUGGCGGGGUAACGGCCCACCAAGCCGACGAUCGGUAGCCGGACUGAGAGGUUGAACGGCCACAUUGGGACUGAGACACGGCCCAGACUCCUACGAGAGGCAGCAGUGAGGGAUAUUGGUCAAUGGGGGAAACCCUGAACCAGCAACGCCGCGUGAGGGAAGACGGUUUUCGGAUUGUAAACCUCUGUCCUCUGUGAAGAUAAUGACGGUAGCAGAGGAGGAAGCUCCGGCUAACUACGUGCCAGCAGCCGCGGUAAUACGUAGGGAGCAAGCGUUGUCCGGAUUUACUGGGUGUAAAGGGUGCGUAGGCGGCUUUGCAAGUCAGAAGUGAAAUCUAUGGGCUUAACCCAUAAACUGCUUUUGAAACUGCAGGGCUUGAGUGAAGUAGAGGUAGGCGGAAUUCCCGGUGUAGCGGUGAAAUGCGUAGAGAUCGGGAGGAACACCAGUGGCGAAGGCGGCCUACUGGGCUUUAACUGACGCUGAGGCACGAAAGCGUGGGUAGCAAACAGGAUUAGAUACCCUGGUAGUCCACGCUGUAAACGAUGAUUACUAGGUGUGGGUGGACUGACCCCAUCCGUGCCGGAGUUAACA